AAAGCACUUGGGCACUUAGAGAGCACUCGGCGCCAUUACUGCCGCCCACGCGGGGUGACCGCGUAGGCGUGUAAAACAAAAUGGCGACCAACUGUACACCACAUGGACUACCAAGAACAAGAGAUAUUAGCAGGAAAGAAGGCAAGGGGCUAGAUAUAACUAAAAGACAUGAAAAGAUGAGUAAAGCUAACCUAUGGGACUCUUUUUGGCCACAAAUACAAUUGGAAAUAAAGAGAAGAACGAUAUAAACUAUAAACAGCCUAGGAUUUGUAUAUGUACCAUGAAAAAACAAUAAUUUUAUACUAUGGAACUUAUUAUACUUAAACAUGAGGAAAAA